UGUAAAUAAGGACAUCAACGGUUUUAAAAAUUGUAGUCAAAUACUGUGUUCAACGAUGGUUAUUUGAAAAACUCAUGGUUGGCGCACUCAUCUUACUUACUCAUCUUCCAGUAAUUGUCAUCACGCUCGUGCCUUCACUCACUCACCCUCUGCUCGUGCUCGUGCCCUUACUCACUCACCAACGACGACGACGCUUUAGUCUGUUCACUGCGACGAUGCUUCAAUCUUGUUCCUUGUGAUGGUGCUUCACUCUCCUUUGUGCGUGCCCUCGCGGUGACUUCACUCUGCUUCACUGGAACUCACAUUCUCUGUCAAACGACGAAACAAGGGUGAAGAAAUAAUAGUGGUAGUUCCAUGGGAAGAAUGAUGGGAAUUGCCUCUUAAGGAUGAUUCCAAUCCACAGAUAGCAUUGCUUCCCUUGAAUCCAGAAAUACGUGCAAAAUUUAACUCCACUGCAGCAUGGGAGUAUGCUCGAAGCAUGGCUGGCAAGCCAUAUGAUUAUCACAAUAUGAUAUUUAGUUGGAUUGACACUGUUGCUAACAACUAUCCUCCACCUCUUGAUGCUCACUUAGUAGAAAACUUUUUCUUAUUUCUUAUUAGUUAACUGUAUCAUAAUUAAUAACUAUACAAUUGAACCAACAAAUUUUGUUGUGAACAACAUGUUAUUUUUCCAGUAGACUACUAUAUAUUUUAUGAGAUGGUUUAAUUU